rnacentral:rRNA from 1 species
AUUGAACGCUGGCGGCAUGCCUUACACAUGCAAGUCGAGCGGCAGCGCGGGGGCAACCCUGGCGGCGAGCGGCGAACGGGUGAGUAAUGCAUCGGGACGUGUCCUCUUGUGGGGGAUAACCAGUCGAAAGACUGGCUAAUACCGCAUGAGAUCGAGAGAUGAAAGCAGGGGACCGCAAGGCCUCGCGCGAGCGGAGCGGCCGAUGCCGGAUUAGCUAGUUGGUGGGGUAACGGCCUACCAAGGCGACGAUCCGUAGCUGGUCUGAGAGGACGACCAGCCACACUGGGACUGAGACACGGCCCAGACUCCUACGGGAGGCAGCAGUGGGGAAUUUUGGACAAUGGGGGCAACCCUGAUCCAGCCAUGCCGCGUGUGUGAAGAAGGCCUUCGGGUUGUAAAGCACUUUCGGCCGGAACGAAAUCGCGCGGGUGAAUAUCCCGCGUGGAUGACGGUACCGGAAGAAGAAGCACCGGCUAACUACGUGCCAGCAGCCGCGGUAAAAC